CACUAAGAAGCUUUGCAUAGCACUAGCCUUUUAAGCUAGAGAAGGGGACGCCAUUCCUCCUCAGUGA
rnacentral:tRNA from 1 species